rnacentral:rRNA from 1 species
UAAAGGUGGCUAUGCUACCGCUUUUGGAUGGGCCCGCGGCGCAUUAGCUAGUUGGUGGGGUAAAGGCUUACCAAGGCAAUGAUGCGUAGCCGAACUGAGAGGUUGAUCGGCCACAUUGGGACUGAGACACGGCCCAAACUCCUACGGGAGGCAGCAGUAGGGAAUCUUCCACAAUGGGCGAAAGCCUGAUGGAGCAACGCCGCGUGGGUGAAGAAGGUCUUCGGAUCGUAAAACCCUGUUGUUAGAGAAGAAAGUGCGUGAGAGUAACUGUUCACGUUUCGACGGUAUCUAACCAGAAAGCCACGGCUAACUACGUGCCAGCAGCCGCGGUAAUACGUAGGUGGCAAGCGUUAUCCGGAUUUAUUGGGCGUAAAGGGAACGCAGGCGGUCUUUUAAGUCUGAUGUGAAAGCCUUCGGCUUAACCGGAGUAGUGCAUUGGAAACUGGGAGACUUGAGUGCAGAAGAGGAGAGUGGAACUCCAUGUGUAGCGGUGAAAUGCGUAGAUAUAUGGAAGAACACCAGUGGCGAAAGCGGCUCUCUGGUCUGUAACUGACGCUGAGGUUCGAAAGCGUGGGUAGCAAACAGGAUUAGAUACCCUGGUAGUCCACGCCGUAAACGAUGAAUG